ensembl:lncRNA FAM86JP family with sequence similarity 86 member J, pseudogene
GGCCCCGCCCACGUCAUGGCGCCCGAGGAGAACGCUGGGACCUAACUCUUGCUGCAGAGUUUGCAGCGCCGCUUUCUGGCGGCGCGCGCGCUGCGCUCCUUCCCCUGGCAGAGCUUAGAAGCAAAAUUAACAGACUCAUCAGAUUCUGAGCUUCUGCGGGAUAUUUUGCAGAAGACUGUGAAGCAUCCUGUGUGUGUGACGCACCCGCCGUCAGUCAAGUAUGCCCGGUGCUUUCUCUCAGAACUCAUCAAAAAGGCCAGGCCAGGAUCAGAUGGGAAGUGGAACCUCGUCAUGACCAGAAACUGUUUCCCUAUGAAGAGCACUUGGAGAUGGCAAUGCUGAACCUCACACUGUAGGACUCACACACGACUCCAAUGGGAUUGUGAGAAUCAAGUCACUCUCAAGGGAAGAGGUUUCAUAUGGGAAAGCUGAUAAAACUUUCACUGGACUGGAAUGUUUGGAGAAUGUUAAUUUCCAAAUCAGGAACUACAAACUGCCCUCUAAUAAGACAUCGGCUAUCUAAGCGUGUGGGUGCUCCCUUUCUGCCAGCAGUUCUGGUUCUUAAGGAAAUCGCCAUCACUCAGACAUGAAAACUCUGGCUCCAAAAAUAGCAUUUUCUUUGUGCAAAUAAAAACGUGUGUAUCAAGUAUGUGGACACACUCGGUUCCUCACAAAGCCAAGCCUGCUGCAGCUGCCACAUCCCUGGACACACUUGGUUCCUCACAAAGCCAAGACUGCUGCAGCUGCCACAUCCGCGGACACACUCAGUUCUUCACAAAGCCAAGCCCGCUGCAGCUGCCACAUCCCUGGGCUUACGAUGCAGCAGGUGCUUUUUUCAAGACAGGAAUCAAAAUGUUAGGAACACGGCAGAAAGGUGACACCUGGAGACCAAACGCAGGAUAAGGAGUACUGCAGAGGUCACAGGGAAGUCACAGAACAGUAAUACGCUAGCAGGGGCAUGGGGCAUGAAGAACAGAAGAAGAGAGGAAGUGUUUCCGAGCCUCCGGAAAAGAAAUCAGAGCCAAGCACAGCUUCCCGGGUCACAGAACCAAUUCAUUCACCAGGCGGCACCACUGCCGUCAUUUCAGCUUCUGGCCACUGGGAGGCGCUGCUCAAAAGGGUUUGCCCUGAGACUCCGAGAAGAAGCUGCGGGAAGGACAGCAGGGGUCCCGGGGUUUUAGCCUCUGGCCCAGGAGUUGUAUGUCCAUAACCAAAGGGAGCACAGUCUGCACCCAGCUCUCAUCCCAUCGGAGCUGCUGCGACUCCCGCAGGUUCUUCCAAAACUGGUUUAGCUUGCCUGCAGGAUCAGGAAAGUUUGAGAAAAGCAUCUGCAAAAAAAUAAAGAGCAGAGCUUACCUCAUUGCCUGUCCCCACCCCAUCCCAGGUCACCACCUGGCUGACCCCAGGUCCCCGACCCAACAACAACCCCUCCCAAGUUCCUAACUCUCUCACUUGGACUCGAGACUCUUCACGCCCCAGCAGCGCUCCGCCUCCAACUUGACAUCAUGCUUUCUGGAAACUUCCCCGUAUGUCCCACUUUCCCACACUUGGUGCCCUGGAGCACCUCCCGGCCUCUAACGUGCUGUAUGUUCCCCUGCGAGCACCCUCCUCUUGGCCUCUGGCCAAGUCCCACCCAUCUGUGGGUAACAAGGGGGUGUCGGUGUUCUUUUCAGCCUUGCUAAACUCUCUGAAUCAAGGAUCACAAACUACAGCCUGCAGGCCAAAUCCAGCCCACAGCCUGUGUUUGUAAAUAAAGUUUUAUUGGAACAAAGCCACACCCCUUAAUCUACAGAUGAUCUGUGGCUACUUUCACACCA